rnacentral:rRNA from 1 species
UACGUAGGGUGCGAGCGUUAAUCGGAAUUACUGGGCGUAAAGCGUGCGCAGGCGGUUUUGGAAGCCAGAUGUGAAAUCCCCGGGCUUAACCUGGGAACUGCAUUGGUGACUGGCAGGCUUUGAGUGUGGCAGAGGGAGGUAGAAUUCCACGUGUAGCAGUGAAAUGCGUAGAGAUGUGGAGGAAUACCGAUGGCGAAGGCAGCCUCCUGGGCCAACACUGACGCUCAUGCACGAAAGCGUGGGGAGCAAACAGG